rnacentral:lncRNA from 1 species
AAGAGAACCUUUACCCAGCCCUUAUUCCCACAGAAUGGGAAAAGGCCCAGAUGAAGCUUUGGUUGUCUUCAUAUGUUUUGGUUGUGGAGUUCCAUCUUCUGAAGGGUCUUUUUGAAGUUGCCCUAUCAAUUUUGCCUUGCUCCUGUCUCUUCAGGAGCACCCUGGGGAGUGGAGUCUUGUCCUCCCUGUCCAGAGGUUCCUUGGAGAGCUGGAGGUUGAAGAGGAGCUGA